rnacentral:rRNA from 1 species
GAAAGUAAGCAAGGGCGCAUGGCGGAUGCCUUGGCUCUCGGAGGCGAUGAAGGACGUGAUAAGCUGCGAUAAGCUUCGGGCAGGUGCAAAUAACCUUUGAUCCGAAGAUUUCCGAAUGGGACAACCCGGCAUUCUGAAGGAAUGUCAUCCAUCCUAGAUGGAAGCUAACGCAGGGAACUGAAACAUCUUAGUACCUGUAGGAAAAGAAAAUAAUAAUGAUUCCCCUAGUAGUGGCGAGCGAACGGGGAUUAGCCCAAACCAAUGUUGUUACGGCAAUAUUGGGGUUGUAGGACCACGAUGUCGCAAGAAAUUUAGUGAGAAGAACCCUUUGGAAAAUGGGACCAUAGACGGUGAUAGUCCGGUAUUCGAAGCUAAAUGAAGCGUAGUGGUAUCCUGAGUAGCGCGGGACACGAGGAAUCUUGCGUGAAUCUGCCGGGACCAUCCGGUAAGGCUAAAUACUCCCGAGAGACCGAUAGCGAACCAGUACUGUGAAGGAAAGGUGAAAAGCACUUCGAAUAGAAGAGUGAAAUAGUCCCUGAAACCGUGCGCCUACAAGCGGUCGGAGCUGCUUAAGCAGUGACGGCGUGCCUUUUGCAUAAUGAACCUACGAGUUACUUUUUCCGGCAAGGUUAAGGAUCUUGAGAUCCGCAGCCGAAGCGAAAGCGAGUCUUAACAGGGCGAUUAGUCGGAAGGAGUAGACGCGAAACCAAGUGAUCUACCCUUGGUCAGGUUGAAGGUUAGGUAACACUAACUGGAGGACCGAACCGAUAAGCGUUGAAAAGCUUCCGGAUGAACUGAGGGUGGGGGUGAAAGGCUAAUCAAACUUGGAGAUAGCUCGUACUCCCCGAAAUGCAUUUAGGUGCAGCCUUGGGAAUUACUACUGUGAGGUAGAGCGACUGAUAAGAUGCGAGGGCUUCACCGCCUAUCAAGUCUUGAUAAACUCCGAAUGCGCAGUAGUUCGAUCCCAGGAGUGAGGGCAUGGGUGCUAAGGUCCAUGUCCUAAAGGAGAAGAAUCCAGACCAUCAGCUAAGGUCCCGAAAUAAUUGCUAAGUUGAACUAACGAAGUCAGAUUGCUAAGACAGCUAGGAUGUUGGCUUGGAAGCAGCCAUUCAUUUAAAGAGUGCGUAACAGCUCACUAGUCGAGGAGUUUGGCGUGGAUAAUAAUCGGGCAUUAAGCAAUUUACCGAAGCUAUGGGAUCAGUAAUGAUCGGUAGGGGAGCAUUCCACUCUGCGUCGAAGGUGAAGCGUGAGCUUUGCUGGAGCGUGUGGAAAAGCAAAUGUAGGUAUAAGUAACGAUAAAGGGGGUGAGAAACCCCCUCGCCGAAAGACUAAGGUUUCCUGAUCAACGCUAAUCGGAUCAGGGUUAGUCGGGUCCUAAGGCUCAGCCGAACGGUGAGGCCGAUGGCAGAACAGGUUAAUAUUCCUGUACUACCUUAAGGAGUGACGUGGAGACGGAGGAGUGACAGCGCCGCGGACUGACGGAAUAGUCCGUUGAAGGGUGUAGAUGUUGAUUAUCCCAGGCAAAUCCAGGAUAAGAGUCGAACCUGAUAGUAUACCAAAUUCUUCGGAAUAAGGUAAUAGUGCGUGUAAUCAUACUCCCAAGAAAAUCCGCUAAACUUAAUCUUUAAGGUACCCGUACCGCAAACGGACACACGUAGUCGGGUUGAAUAUACUAAGGCGCUUGAGUGAUUCACGGUUAAGGAACUAGGCAAACUGACCCUGUAACUUCGGGAUAAAGGGUCCCUACCCGGUGACGGGAGGGCGCAGAGAAUAGGUCCAGGCAACUGUUUAACAAAAACACAGGGCUGUGCGAAAUUGAAAGAUAAUGUAUACAGCCUGACACCUGCCCGGUGCUGGAAGGUUAAGAGGAGAUGUCAUCGCAAGAGAAGCAUUGAAUUGAAGCCCCAGUAAACGGCGGCCGUAACUAUAACGGUCCUAAGGUAGCGAAAUUCCUUGUCGGGUAAGUUCCGACC